rnacentral:rRNA from 1 species
UACGGAGGGAGCUAGCGUUGUUCGGAAUUACUGGGCGUAAAGCGCACGUAGGCGGCUUUGUAAGUUAGAGGUGAAAGCCCGGGGCUCAACUCCGGAACUGCCUUUAAGACUGCAUCGCUUGAAUCCAGGAGAGGUGAGUGGAAUUCCGAGUGUAGAGGUGAAAUUCGUAGAUAUUGGGAAGAACACCAGUGGCGAAGGCGGCUAACUGGUCCAGAUCUGACGCUGAGGUGCGAAAGCGUGGGGAGCAAACAGG